GAUGCCCAAUUACUUAACUACUGACAAGGAUAACUUACUUUGCAGUGUCUGUGAAAAUCAUCAUAUAACCAUUCAAGGUCCACGCAUACUGAUGAAAUCUUUUCAAUGGCGCAUAAAAGACGGUUUUCUUCAAAUGUGUCAUCAAGGUCAAGAAUAAGCUCCUGGAGGAUUAACAAAGAACAUAAUAUUAAAAACUUGCGAAAAGCAAGAGAACAAAGUUACAAAUUCAUUAUAGGGCUAGAAAGAAAACCAGGUAGGAGUAUAUGAAGCUCCUGUAGAAACACUCCCCAUCUCCAAGGACUACACGAAAUGAUGAGUAGAAUUCCAAGAGUUUCUGUGCGACUGAUCC
rnacentral:lncRNA from 1 species